AGAGUUUGAUCCUGGCUCAGGACGAACGCUGGCGGCGUGCCUAAUACAUGCAAGUCGAGCGGACCGACGGGAGCUUGCUCCCUUAGGUCAGCGGCGGACGGGUGAGUAACACGUGGGUAACCUGCCUGUAAGACUGGGAUAACUCCGGGAAACCGGGGCUAAUACCGGAUGCUUGAUUGAACCGCAUGGUUCCAAUCAUAAAAGGUGGCUUUUAGCUACCACUUACAGAUGGACCCGCGGCGCAUUAGCUAGUUGGUGAGGUAACGGCUCACCAAGGCGACGAUGCGUAGCCGACCUGAGAGGGUGAUCGGCCACACUGGGACUGAGACACGGCCCAGACUCCUACGGGAGGCAGCAGUAGGGAAUCUUCCGCAAUGGACGAAAGUCUGACGGAGCAACGCCGCGUGAGUGAUGAAGGUUUUCGGAUCGUAAAACUCUGUUGUUAGGGAAGAACAAGUACCGUUCGAAUAGGGCGGCACCUUGACGGUACCUAACCAGAAAGCCACGGCUAACUACGUGCCAGCAGCCGCGGUAAUACGUAGGUGGCAAGCGUUGUCCGGAAUUAUUGGGCGUAAAGCGCGCGCAGGCGGUUUCUUAAGUCUGAUGUGAAAGCCCCCGGCUCAACCGGGGAGGGUCAUUGGAAACUGGGGAACUUGAGUGCAGAAGAGGAGAGUGGAAUUCCACGUGUAGCGGUGAAAUGCGUAGAGAUGUGGAGGAACACCAGUGGCGAAGGCGACUCUCUGGUCUGUAACUGACGCUGAGGCGCGAAAGCGUGGGGAGCGAACAGGAUUAGAUACCCUGGUAGUCCACGCCGUAAACGAUGAGUGCUAAGUGUUAGAGGGUUUCCGCCCUUUAGUGCUGCAGCAAACGCAUUAAGCACUCCGCCCUGGGGGAGUACGGUCGCAAGACUGAAACUCAAAGGGAAUUUGACGGGGGGCCCGCACAAGCGUUGGAGCAUGUGGUUUAAGUCGAGCACGGCGAAGAAUCCUUAACAAGUCUGGACCAUUCGUCUGGACUAUCCUUAGAGAUACAGCCUUCCGUCGGGACAGAGUGACAGUGAUGCCAAUGU
rnacentral:rRNA from 1 species